ensembl:lncRNA
GGAAUCCUCAUUUUGUAGUUCAAAAGUGAUUUUUUCCCACUUCUAAUUGUAGCAUCAGCAUCUCAGUACAAGUUUAGUUUAUACAUAGUCUAGGAUUUCUUAACAGAAAACAUAUUGAUACCCUCAGCAUUAGAACUGAGACAUAAAGCUUGGCUAAUUUUCAGUUCCUGUUCUUGAGGCCAUUGUAUUGGGAACAUCAUGUGAUUAGUAAUUGCACGUCAACUUGGUCAGGCAUGGGAUGCCCGGGAGCUGACUAAAUAGUAUGUCUUACCAUAUCUGGAAGAGUGUUCUAAAGAGCUUAGCAUCCACUCUGGUGGACUAAAGGACAUAACUGCUCCUCUGUGUGUGUGUGUGUGUGUGUGUGUGUGUGUGUGUGUGUGUGUGUGUAUGUAUGUGUGUAUGUGUGUAUGUAUGUGUGACAUCUGGCCAGUUGCUGGCUGAAUAGAAAGAGGAAUAUAGGUGAAGGUUGAUUCCUAGCUUGAUUUGGGGGAUUGAUCUGUCAGUGACAUUUUUAAUUCUCAGGCUGUCAGGCUGACUAGAUCUCAACUGUGAGCUCUACUGUUUUGAGAUUUCUUUCAAACAUAACACUGGCUUUACAAGUAGACACACAUAGAGAGCCACAUGUAAGUCAAGGGCUGGAAUACAGACUGAGAAAACUGUUCCUAGACAGUUUUGUAGCUUGAGUGUGAAAUACACUAUUGAAAAAAACAUUGUGCAUCAUAUGACUGUGUAUACAGAACACACAUACAGAGAGAGACAUAUACAAUUGGUUCUAUUUCUUUCAUUUCUUUGAAGAACUCUGACUAAUACUUAGUACUUGAAAUCUGAAAUUCAUAGUUGUCUUUAUUUCUUCUAUCUGUAAGUCAGAGGCAAGUUACUUGCUAUAGGUCAUUCUUCAAAGGAAGGCAAAGAUAAACAUGAAGGAAAGGAGAAUGUCUUGGAGGAUGUUAACACUGGGCUUGCAUAGUUCCAUUGGCAGGACUCGUGUCUUUCAAAACACUCAGUCUUUACUUCCUGAUUUAUACACAUGUCUAAAUGUUUUCAAAGGGAGUUCUAAGAACUCCAUCUGUGCCUGGUAGUAAACUAGACAAGGCUCACACCAUUCACUGUAGCAAACAGAAGUCACUGAAACCUGGAGAUUAGAUUUAAAGGAUGUGCACUGUCAUCCACACAGUCCACAGAGUCCUGUGAAGUUUCUAUGUUGCUGGCUAUUGGAUGUUUGCUAUCCUCCAGCACCAUCAGUCACUAUCCUUGGUUCUUGUUUUGAGCCUGAACCUCAUUGAGGACCUCUGAGAACGGCAGUCUGAGUAGAUCUCUGGUCAUAGAGGAUAGCAAGAAAGAUGAGAACCAUGAAGGUAACCUAAAACUCACAAAGGACUGAAGCCUUUGAGGAUACACUGGAUGUGCACAUGUCUUACUGUCUCCAGCCUUAGUAGCACCAGUAUCCUGCAGAGGAGCUCAAUGAUCUGAAAAUGUACAUGACUUGAGACUUGAAGAACCAUUGGUGGAGACCGAGGAGUUCCAAGUGCAGAUGAUGCCCUAUGCAGCAGGAUGAGCCAGCAGAUGACAGGCAACAUGACACUUGCUCAAUCGCAAGCGAGUGCUUGUCACAAGGAUUCUGGACAGUAUUUUCUUCUCCUCUGGAAGAUACAAGAAAACUCUACCAUUCAGCCCCUCCAAGGCUUCAGGCAUCUGUACGGAAGGCACAGCCAGAGGAGAGACAGUGUCAGUGCAUCCACUGCUCCACCACAGUCUGCUUUCUCAUUAGGAAAACAAAAGGCCUCCCAGGAAUUCUGAGACCUGCACAAAAGGAGGUAGAAACAGCUUUCGAAUGACUCAAAAGCAUUUUUUAAAAAAUCUAUUGAGUGAGUUCUCAUUUGAAGUUCAUAGAACACUCACUUCCUAGUUUGAAAAUUGGUAUUUGAGGAGCAAAUUAAACAUCCAAACUUCAUAAAAUCUUCCUAAAAAUGUAUCUUAAGGAAACCAAAUAGGUCCAAAUGAUGACUGUUCUACUGUAUAGAAGACUGUUAAUUAAGAAUAUGGAAAGCAAUACAGAAUCAGAAAAACCCACAUUCUGUAAUUCCUAUUAAAUUUAGCAAUUUAGUUACUAUGUUGAAUUCUAAUUAAAAUGUUUAGCUGUUGGGACCUAAGAAAGUCACGUAGGACCAAAAGUAACCCUGCAAAGAUUGCUUUCUUGUGGCUGAUGGGGAAAGAGGGGCUAAGGGUUCAGUGAAAGCUCAGACUGGACCAACAAGCUCAACAGGUAAAGAAACUUGCUACCAAGUUUGGUGACUUGAGUGUGAUCUCUCGAAUCAGGUCCAAAGGACAGAACUCCUCCCAAAAGUUAUCCACUGAUGCCACACAGUGCACAGUGGAAUUCGUGUGCACAAGUGCACACACACACGCACACACACACGCACACACACACACACACACACACAAAGAGAGGGGGGCAUAUAUAAACAUAAUAUAUUUUGCAAAGGCUCAAAUGUCACAGUGCCUAAGAAUGAAUCUUAGCAUCCAGUCAGAGUUGCAGAACAGAAGGCAGAAGCAGGCCAAGUCUACAGCAAGCUAGCAAGUUUCUAAGAAUGUGGAUCCUGAGGCAAAACAAGGUUUGGAACCAGGGUGUGUCCAAAGAGAUGGACCAUAAAAGGAUUUUUUGAGAACUUGAUGCAGACAUUUGCACUUGCACCAGAAUUAUUGUUAAUGUUGGCAUUCAUUCCACACUCCACUGAGCCAAGCUCCCUGGGCAAGCCAUCCCCAAAUAGGACUUGGAAGUGCCAUUUCCACAUCUAGGUACUAGGAUAAUGAGUCCCACCUCUAAAUCCCCUGCCUGUGAGUUCAGAGCAUUCCAGGGGUAUCUGAAAAGAUCUUCCCAGUACAGGCCCAAUACCUCUGAGACCGUCUCAUGCUCUUCCUACCCCAGCUUUAGUCUCCUUGAUGGUGACCUGGGCCCUUGAAAACAAAAGAAGUAAAAAGUUCUUAAGAAGCUGUUGCUUUUGUUUAGCUUCUGGUUCUUAGUGGCUUUCCCAUUUCCCUUUGCAACUGCAAGAGCGGGAGAGACCGAUUUCUGAGUUGUGCUGAUUUGUGCUAUAAUAGGCUUGGUAAUGAGAAAGCACAGUGCCUCCCUUUGUAGCCUCAAACUCCAGGCUCUCCUGUCUCAGUUCCCCAAGCAUCAGGAGGGCAGGUGUGCGCUGCCACAGCGCUAGCAGGAACAGGAAGAUUUCUGUGUUCUGUCAUCUUCAUGGGCUGAGGCUGAGCCUGGAGUCUCCAUGUCAGUAGCAUCUUUCAAGGCUGUUCCUCUGCAGCUCUGAAACCUUUUUUUUUUUAAAUAUAAACCAAGUUUAUUUUGCCUUUUAAGUAGUGUUCAUAUAGCACUACAGGUAGGUAAACAAUGUGAAUUAGUAUACGUCAUCUCAAAAGCCAGAGUUUUGUUAUUGUUGUUGUCAUUUUUUAAUGAGUUGUGAAAAUGAUGCAGCCUAUUCUAACAGGAUAAAUAUUUUUAACCAUUUCACUUUGAGUUAAUGAAGGCUCACAAAUGAGCAACACUCCUCACUGAGGAAAACAGAAAGCUGUUCUCGACAAGGGACAACUCACACACACAAGCAAAAAGAACUGUGUAAAAAUAACUAACUGUUCCCAUAUUAAAACUUGACCACUGGGGAGAUGCCUGGGGAGGUUCACUGUCAGAUUAUUCGAGCACUUGGGCACCCUCUAGAGGAACAACUUGAAAACCUUCAAAACUUCAUUUGGAAAUUAGAAAAAUCCGAUUUUACCUAAGCUAUGAAAUUUUAAGCUCAGAGGUACCACUUGGACAUUUUUAUUUGGAACCCUCUUCAGAAGGUGUCUUGCUCUAAAGCACCCAUGAAAUGGGCACAGCCACUGUCUUUACUACUGUUCCAGUCCUUUCUGUACAGCAACACAGGGACAAUCAUCUCCAGUUUCUGAACUGCAGUAAACUGUAAGCACUGCUAUAGUGUGGGACAGCUAGCUUUCCUCCUGUUCUUAGGGAUAGCAUUCUUAACAUUUGAAUGCCUGUAGCAUCGCUCAUCUUUGGCCCUUCUUCCUCCCUCCUUCGUGUCCUUCUAUUUGUCUGUGCUAGACAAGGUUCUGCCAUUAGACUGUCACCCCAUAUCUGAGUUGCUUUUCAUAGGAUUAAAUCACCAAAUCAUAUAAAGUGACAUCCCCUGAGAUGACAACUUGUUUCCACGUCACUUCCUUAUGGCUGUUCUUUUGAGAAAGGCUCUCAAUGCACAGCCCAGACUUAACACAACCUAGAGAUCCUCCUGCCUCUGACUCCCAGUCCACAUUGCUUUUAUCUGAGAUUAGAAAUAUACCGCCAGACCCUGUGAGAGAGAGAGCCCAGACCCUGUGAGAGAGAGACCCAACCGCCUGGUCAGGUGGGCACUCCUGAGGCUGCAGAGCGGAAGAGACCACCAACGCUGCUCACCCCUGCCCACAUCCCUGGCCCAAGAGGAAACUGUAUAAGGCCUCUGGGCUCCCGUGGGGGAGGGCCCAGGAGUGGCAGGACCCCUGCCUGAGACACCGCCAGAACCUGAAGGAAACAGACCGGAUAAACAGUUCUCUGCACCCAAAUCCCGUGGGAGGGAGAGCUAAACCUUCAGAGAGGCAGACAAGCCUGGGAAACCAGAAGAGACUGCUCUCUGCACACAAAUCUCGGACGCCAGAGGAAAAAGCCAAAGACCAUCUGGAACCCUGGUGCACUGAAGCUCCCGGAAGGGGCGGCACAGGUAUUCCUGGUUGCUGCCGCUGCAGAGAGCCCGUGGGCAGCACCCCACGAGCGAACUUGAGC